UCUCUCAUCACCAGCAAUAUACCCCGAAAUGGUUUAGCAGAGAAGCCAUUUUUGUGUGGACAGCCUCUUACUUUGAUUCAGACUAAUGCUAAGAGAUACCAGCCAAAUUCCAAGAACCUCAAAUGCUUUCGUUUCAGAGCUCAGAUUUCAGGUAAUGCAAUUUUAGUUAGAGUUUAUGUUUUACGUAUGGGCUAAAAAAAUUUACAGCUGAUUAUCUUGCGUAAUUGCUUGUACUCCUACUGUCCUACAUACUGAAGAAAUAUAGCUAAUGUAGGUAAUUUGGGAUAGACCAAAUUCUCUAAUUCUCAAACAUGAAGUAUUAAUUUAGAAGGGAAAAUUGCAAUCAUUAUCUAUUUCCUUCCAAACAUGUCACCUUUUUAGCUCCAAAUGUUUUUCUGGAGUCAACUAAAUACAAUUACUAAUCAGAUUCUAGAUUUUUUCAGAAGGGGAGCCUUGGCGUAACUGGUAAAGUUGUUGUCAUGGGACCAGGAGGUCACGCGUUUGAGCCGUGGAAACAGCCUCUGGCAGAAAUGCGUACAAUAGACCUUUGUGGUUCGGCCCUUACCCGACCUUGUGCAUAGCAGGAGCUUAGUGCACCGGGCUGCCCUUUAUUCUAGAUUUUUUCUCCUUGCCCUCUGUAAUUUGGCUCAAAUUACUGCUAACAGUGGAAAGGAAAGAAUUUAAACGUUUGAUAAUAACUAAAAUUUAGCUAGAACUGGCAAUGAGGUAAACUUGCAAAUGGUGGAUGGUCUCAUUCAGGAAAGCGGUACCUGAAUCAAAAGCAGCUUAAUGCUAAUAGUAGAGUGCUAAGUUAUUCCUAUUAGGCAUCUUCUAAAAAUCGAGCAUAUCUAGAGGUAGAAACUCUUCAAUGUAUAAACUUCAAAUAGAUGAAUUGUUGGGAUGUAUGAUUAUGCCUUUUCUGGAUGAUCUUCUAUUAGCUUUUAUAAGCAUGAUUUGGAGAGCUUUUAAAGGAUGAUUUCCCUGUGGAACCAUCUCUAGAAGGAAACAAAUUUAUUCAUUUCUCUAUGAUGUGGUUUAGAUGUACUCAACAAAUAUGCAACCUUCUAAGUAGUGUUAUAGUUAUAUGGAUAUCUGAAUGUGCAGCAAAAGUUAGCUCAUUGGAACCUGCAAAAGAUGUCAAAUCAAAAGAUGGAAAUCUUGUUUUUGUUGCUGGUGCAACUGGUAAAGUUGGUUCUCGGACUGUAAGGUUGUGUUUCUUUUUUUUUUCAACAUUGACUUCAGAUUAUAUAAAUCCAAUAAACCUGCUAUUAAGUCUGUUUUGCUGAAAGACCAGAAUGUUUUCAGGGAGCUUUUGAAAUUAGGUUUUAAAGUUCGAGCUGGCGUUCGGAGUGCUCAAAGAGCUCAACCUCUUGUCAAAGUAAGAGUUCUGACUAGUGGUAACGUAUUAAAUUUACGGGUCAAUGUGUGUCUAGAUCCUUUAUGGCUCAUCAAUUGUUCCUUGUUACAGAGUGUUGAGCAGAUGAAACUUGAGAAUGCUGCGGAUGGAAGAGCAAAAGGUAAGAUUGAUGUGGAAAGGACAACUGGUAACUGGUUAGGUAUUAGCAGUUUAGAGUAAAUGUACUUCUUUGGAAAAUCACAUGUUACAUUUGGUCUUUAGCCCAGCUAUAGAGAAGCUUGAAAUUGUGGAAUGCGAUUUGGAGAAAAUUGAUCGGAUUCGGCCUGCACUGGGCAAUGCAUCAAUCGUUAUAUGUUGCAUUGGUGCCAGUGAGAAGGAGAUCUUUGAUGUUACUGGACCAUAUCGAAUUGAUUACCAAGCCACUAAGAACCUUAUUGAUGCAGGUAAAAAGAGUUCUGAUUUUAGUUGUAGACUUCCUCACUACAAUGCCAAUAAGUUGGUCAUACUGUUAAAGGAAAUGUUAUACUAGAUAAUUUCUCCUCAUGUUGUCCUCUUCAGUUAGUUCCUAUAGAAGCAAUUGGUAUUGACUAAAUUCAGAUGUGCUGCCAAUAAAUUACUCAAACUAACAUAGAAUGAGUGACAGAAAGUUGAUAUCUUUCUCCGUGCAGCAACUGUUGCAAAAGUUGACCACUUUAUCUUGCUCACAUCUUUGGGAACAAACAAGGUCGGUUUUCCUGCAGCCAUUCUCAAGUAAGUCUGGGAGUCUUCUGAUUCACAUGAGUCCCCGAAAGAUGUAUUUGGCUUUAAAUAUGAAUAUGAUUCUCCUUUUUCUUUUGGUAUGGAAGUUUGUUUUGGGGAGUCCUUGUUUGGAAAAGGAAAGCAGAAGAGGCACUGCUCGCCAGUGGGCUUCCUUAUACAGUGAGUUCUUCUAAUUUAUGCAUUGGAAAGAUUACAUAAGUGAGGUGAUCUGGAUUUGUGUGAAAUGCAAUAUGGUGCUUAUAUUUCCCCUGCUAUUUCAGAUUGUGAGACCUGGAGGAAUGGAACGUCCUACUGAUUCUUACAAAGAAACUCAUAAUAUUACUCUUUCGGAGGAAGAUACUUUAUUUGGUGGUCAAGUGUCGAACCUUCAGGUUUUAACAAAUCUUUAUUUGCAUUUCUUCAAGCAUAUACCUCUCUGGUGUAGGUUGAUAUGUUUUCUGCUUUAACAAAAUUUGACAUGACAUGAAUAUACAUCGCAACUUGAAAAUUCAAUUGGCUUGUGAUGUAUAAUAGUUUCCAUAAAUAAUUUUCAUGUUGAGAAUUGCACUAGCUACUGUUUUAUAUUCUGCUCAGUGAAAAGUUCUUUUUUUUUUUUUACUGUGUCAAGUUUCAACUAGAAGUAUGGAUUGACUGCUAAGGUUAAAAUGUUUAUUUUUGUGGUUCAAAUUUCACAAGCACAGUAGUCCUACAGGACAUAGCAAAUAAUCCCAUUGGCUAAGUGGAUGACGAGCGAUUAUGAGUUAAAAACCACAUGUAUUUGUUAUCUCUAGUGUCAUGCAACAGCAUUUUAACUAGGCUGUUAGGGGGUAGCUCCUCUUAUAAGCGGUAUUUACUUUCUUGAACAUUCAUAAGUGGCACGCACGAGAUCUAUUGACAUUAAGAAAAGUGGUCGAGGUAUUUGCUAAGUCUCACAAAUUUUAUUUACAUAAAGCGCUAGCAAUUUACAGUUAGCAACUAAGACAACUCUGAUUGAUAAAAUCAGGUGGCAGAACUAUUGGCGGUAAUGGCCAAAAACCGCAGCCUUUCGUAUUGUAAAGUGGUUGAAGUAAUUGCAGAAACAACAGCACCAUUGACCCCCAUGGAGGACCUUCUUGCGAAAAUUCCUCCCCAACGUGUUGAGGUUUCACCAGCCAAGGUAAUUUCAUUUAGUUCUUCAUGAAAAACAGAGAAAUGACUUGCCCAAAUUGGCUUUUAUACAUGAAUAUGAUAUUGAGGCAUUCAAUAAUAAGUAUCAAAUAUUACUUCAUUUUUCUUGUUUCGGAAGGAAUCUUCUGUUUUAACGUUAUUACGCCGAUUAUUUCUAGGAAGCUGGUGAUUUACAAAAGCCUGCAGCUUCAAGCAGUAUUACGUCUGAGAUCCCAAGCACCUCGAUUGAGAAAGAACCUGCUGAAACAAAGUUGAAGGCAGCAGCACCACUCUCUCCAUAUGCUGCGUAAGCUUGAUGGUUUUUAUUUAUUUUCUGUUAGGUGUAUGUUUCCUCUUCAAAAACCUAGAUGCUUUUUUUCUAUUUCUGGAAACUAUGAAGAUUUAAAGCCACCAACAUCUCCUACUCCAACCCCUAGUGUCGGAACAGGUUCGACCAAAGCAGGGUCAACAGUGGUAGCAAAUGAUUCAACACCACCUUCUUCCGAAAUUAAUUCUUCUGAAAGCUCAAUCCCUGAAACUGAUAGCAAAACUCAAGUGACAGACAAAAAGAAAACAACUCCUUCCUCACCUUAUAUAUUGUAAGCUCAUUUGCAGCCUCUUCUCCUUAAUGUUCACUGUUGUUGACUUGAUACAAAAUGCAAAGACUAGACAUCCCAGAAUCUUUCACUGAAUGUCACUGAAAUCUUACAUAUUGUUACUGUUAUUAUUGCAGUUAUGAAGAUCUUAAACCGCCUACAUCUCCUGCGCCAAAUCCUCCCAGUGGUAGCCGAGUAAGUGCAAGUGGAGCUGAAGAUGGCAAAACCACUACGUCAGCUUCUGUUGUCGUUGACGGUACUUCUGACAAAGCAGAAUUGCUGACUGCAAGGCCUUUGUCUCCAUACACUGCGUUAAGUCAUUCCUGAGUUAAUCCUAUUAUUUAUGCGCAAGUACAGAUCGAGUAGCUUAUUUGCUGACUGAUACAAUAUUGGCAGUUAUGAAGAUUUAAAGCCACCUGCAUCUCCAAGUCCAACACCAAGUGGUCCGAAAGCCUCAAUAUCAGCAGAAACUAUAUCACAACUUGCUGGAGGCAAUGACAUCUCACCGAGCAUCACUACCAUUUCAGCUGAGAAGGAUCCUUCGCAUACUGUAGCUUUUUGUCAU
rnacentral:lncRNA from 1 species